GCCGAGCGCGGGCGGGGUGGCGGAGCCGGGAACCACGGUGUCGGCGGGGGAAGGGGGGACCGCGGGUUUAACUUUAAUAGUUCUUCAGGCUAUUCUUUAAGAAUAGCUAAUUCUUUAGCUAUUUCAGAGCUAUUUUAGGAUACUUCAACAUAUUUUAAGGUCAGUCAGAGGGGACGCCCUGUGAAAAUGUAGAGUUUUAGGACUGCAGAGGUAGGCUUUGGUAAGGGGCCGGUUGUGGUGCCGUGGGUUGGGUCCCAUGCUGCUGAUCCAAAGGUGAUUUUCCAGGUCCGGUGAAGUUGCUGAGGUUAGACUCAUGAAUAGACGCUGGAGGUUUGGUCUGAGGAAAAUCCUGCACUAGAAAACUCACGACACAAUUUUGGUGAUGUUGAUUUGUCAGAAGUGUUUAUAACAUCGAGGGCAGCCCGAGUUCGAGGUGGGGAGGGCUAGAGUCCAGAAGGAACCCUGCGCCGUUCAUAAUUCUAGGAGGCAGAAGCCCGCUCCCAGCCACUGGGCCCCUGGACUCAAAUGGCAGCCCUUUUAAAAUGUAAAAAAACCCUCCUCUCGCCCUCCCUCCCCGACUGUCAGUUUGUCAGAGGCGUUUGGCAGUCCAAGGGCAGCCUGAGUUCUGGAUGGAGGCAGCUCGGGUCCGGGAGGAAUCCUGCUCCGUUUGUAAUUUUGGGACGCAGAAACCCGCUCGCGGCCGCCCGGCCGCUGGACGUGAAUGGCACCCCUUUUCCGUGGGAAAGAAAACUCACCUCUGCAGGUUCCUGAUGUCGGUUUGUCAGAGACGUUUGGCACUCCAAGGGCAGCCCGAGUUGUAGCUGGGGGUGGCUUGGGUCUGGGAGGAAUCCUGCUCCAUUCGUAAUUUUCCUAACCCUCUAACCUUAACCCUGAACCCUAAUCUUAACCCUAACUCUAACCUUAACCUUAAACCAACGUGGGUAGAAAGAAAAUCAUUAAAAUUUUAAAAUAUAUUCUCAGUGUAUGUAUCAGAAGUUUUCCUUCUUGUAGAAUUCUACAAAACCCAGAAUGCACUGGCCUCAUCAGAGAUGUCAUCCUAUGGCAUGCCCAGAAAAACUGGAUUAAUGGGACCGAAUCCUGGCGGCAAGCACUGAAACCGAUAUCACUUCUCAAGUCCCACUGCUGGGCUCAACCUCACUGAAGGAUGACGGGAGGGAGUACACAGUGCUUCAUCUUUCACUGUCAGCCCUCAAAACCACUUUCACAAAAGAAGGAAAAAAGCACGUAUCCUGUUUCUAGAUGGCUCCUGUGGGUUUGGACACUAUCUGUUAUUAACAUAAAAGUCAGGAAACAAAAUCAUGACAUCUUUUAGGUCAGAAAAAACCUUUAUGACCAUCAAGUCCAACCAUUAACCCGGGAUUGCCAAGGCCACCGCUAAUCCUUGUCCUCGAGUGCCACGUGCACCCAUUUUUUCAAUCCCUCCAAGGAUGGUUACUCCACCAGUGCCCUGGGCAGCCUGUUCCAAUGAUGGACAGCCCUUUUGGUGAAGAAAUUUUCCCUAGUAUCUCAUGUAAACCUCCCCUGGUGCAACUUGAGGCCAUUUCCUCUCAUCCUGCUGCUUUACUUGGUAGAAGAGAGAAUCAUUUAGGUUAGAAAAGACUUUUGACAUCCUUGAGUCCAAUGUCAGGAUCUUUCACUGGUCUCCAGGGUAUGGUGUGAUGCUUUUCAUUUUCAGGUGAAUGAAAUAAGAUCCCUGAGGCAAAGCUGUGCUCCCUGCAUAUCAGACAUACCAAAAUACUUCCGUACAGCAGCCUUUUGAUAUGUCUGACACCCAGACUCAUGCUGGGCCUGCCUAAGUGUCAUCCUUGAGAAAGCUUUCGUCCCUUUAAACAUUCAUGUGCCCUUUCUUCUUCUCAUGUAUUUUUACUACUAACAGGUUUCCCAGCUGAUAACACAGCAAUGAGUACAUUAUUCAGCCUGGAUUGCUGACUUGACUGCUGGCAGUCUCCAUUACAGCAACAUCUUCCAACACUUACGGGUGAGGAUCCCAAGCUUUAUCUGAGUGUCCUGGCAGAACGUGGCUGAUGCUGCAGGGCGUAAUGGGGAGAGGCAGUGGGAUGGGACUAGAGCCAGGGAUCUCUGUCCAGACUCUACUCGGCACUGGAGUACACAAGCCCAGCUCCUCCAGUCCCCUGUGAGCCCCAGGAGAUGCAGGGGAAGCAGGAGAAGCUUCUUGGGGCUGAAGUGACACUUGUGCUUCUUCUAUUAUAUUACAGAGCUGCUAUCACUGUGCCACAUCCCUUUCCCUCUUAUCCCACAUGAACUGUGAACUGAGCAAUCAUCUCUGUAUUGUACAGGAGGGCUGUGAACCUUAAUUAAUUUGUGGGUUUCAGUUCUUUGUGCUCUCAAAAUGCAGUGUGUUUUAUUCCUUCACUACUUCACAGUUAAUAGCAUUAUUUAUUUGAGUCAGAGUAGUCCCCACCAAGCCUGUGUGAUAGUGGGUUCCCAAUUCUGCAUGAUACACUGGGCAGGCACAAACUCCCUGCACUCCCUAACACUAACUAAAACAGGAAACAAUUAGGUUAGGUAUUAGGAAGUAGUUCUUCCCUGUGAGGGUGCUGAGGCCCUGGCACAGGCAGCCCAGAGAAGCUGUGGCUGCCCCAUCUCUGGAAGUGUCCAAGUCCAGGUUGUACGUGGAUAAUCCCGUGGUUGAACCUGGGAUAGUGGUAAGAGGUUCUUGCCCGUGGCAGGGGGUUUAGAAUGAGAUGAGUUUUUAGGUCCCUUCCAAACCAUUUGUGGAGUCUGUGAUCACCCACCAGUGAGCUUGGGGAGUCCCUCCCCAGGUGGGUUUGUGUCCGUGCAUAGCUGUAGGUUGGGGAAAAGACACGGGAACAUGGCCAUACCUGCAAGCACUGUCAUCCAUGUGGAAGAGGAAUCCAUGUUCCAUGAGUGGGGUGGUUCAAGAGGAAGCUGAAUUGCAAGCAGCCUUCAUGUCCAGCUGCUUACAGAGACCAAGCAAUACAAAAAUUAAACAGGCCAUUAAGCAGCACUCCAGUGGAUUAACAUUUGUCUGUCUCGCUUACGCUGCAGGAUUUCAAAAUUCCUUUGAAGUUUGCAUAUUAGAAAAUCACUUUCCAAGCCACAUAACUUUGAGGAACAGCUGACUAAUCCUUUAGGAUUUAAUGAGGUUAACUAACAUGCACAGUUUUGUAGAAAGCUAUCAUUUGUAUUUUGGUAGCAAACAUGAACAACAUUGACAAUAAGUAAUGAUCUGUAAAGAGCCAUAAUGGGAGCAUGUCAUCAUUUUAGUAACUUUUGUAGAAGCUUUAAUUUUCUUCAUAAAGCACAGGUUGGGCUUCUGAUCUGAUCUUCUUAAUUAUAACAAUUAAUAGUUAACAUAACUGUUUGCUUUUAAGUCUCACUGAAGUCAAUAGGAUUACACUUUUCUGUUAGCAACGUUAAUUUAACCUUUUUUAUUAGUUUCUUCUCUGACUCUUCAGGAACCCAUGAAAGUCCAUGGAAGCAUGGACUGGCAGAACAUCAGCAGUGUUUUCCAGCAGCUGGGGCUGAGAGCAGGAGGUGCCCAGCACUGGUCUAGCACUGGAGCCACAUCCCACUGUUUGUCCAGCGAAGCCCAACUCUGUUCCUGACAAGGUCUGGAUCAGAGCCGUCCCCCAGCUGAGCUCCUGGAGUGACUAUAGAAUAGAAUCAUAGAAUCAUUAAAUUUGGAAAAGACCUCCAAGAACAUCAAGUCCAGCCUUCUCCAUUCAAGAGGUUGGUUCUGGACUCCUUGUGCCUCAGGUGCCUCGAGAUUGAACUAUGAACUUAACUUGGUAUUUAUAUAUAUUUUUAUAUAUUUAUAUAUAUUAUGGAACACCAAAGUUGUGUGCAACAAGCUGACACAUAAGUUCAUUAGGAUGCAAUUACUGCAAUCAGAAUGUAGGCUACUCAAUUAUUUUAGCAAGAAGGUGUAAUUAACUGCAGGUUCAUGCUGAAUGCUGCCUGGUGCCAGAUUUCGAGGAUUGGCUUGCAUGGGUAAACACAGCAGUGGGGUUUUACCUAGAGCACAGCCACUAGCUGAGAGAUGCAGACUGAUGGAAAACAGCAGCGGCUGGAUUGGUGGGAGACAAGCCAGAGCAAGACAAGAGGAGCAGAGCAUCCUGUCCUUCACCUAGCAGCCCAGCUGAUAGAGCUGGAGCCUCUAGGGAUGUGAGCUGAGUGCAUCAAAACUUACUGGCUAUAAUCGCUGCUGAGCCGUUGCUGCCUCGUUAUUUAAAAGCAUGAAUAUUAACGAGUUCUUACAGCUUCUUUGGAAAGAUCUGCCUGUUAUGGCUUAUAGAUCAUAGUGGUACUGGGAGAAAAUAAAACUCUGUCAAACCGUUUGCCUGUUGCUUGUUUGCAACUCUCCUUCAGCUCAUGGGAGCCUGGACACUAUUCUGGAGAGGUAGUUUCCUCAGCAUGUCUUCCACUUGUGAAUUAUUUAAUGGGAAGCUUUGUCCUUGUAAUGAGUGGAAUAUUCAGUGUGCAAUUAAUAUCUCUGUUGCCCUCGGGCCUUCACAAUCCUUGUCAAAAUGUACAUUACACCUGUAAAAAUUCCAUACAGAGCAGCAGGCAGAGAGGUGGCUGUUCAUGGACUGUGCAUGGAGAGAAGGAAGAGAAAAAAGACAGGAAAUCUUACAAGAUUUGCUGCAUACAUAAAGCAGGAGACCAUCAAGGGCAUGAGUGGCACAACAGGACCUGGGAGCUGUGGCACAGAAUCCUGUAUGGUGCUGAGCAACCUGGCCUGGGAAAGGAGUCCCUGCCCAUGGCAGGGCUGAGAUAAUGAGCUUUAAGGGCCCUUCCAAUCCAAACCAUUUUAUGAUUCUAUGAAGUUAAUUUUUGCUGUCCUUCAUUCCCAGGGCAGUGCCAUAGGUGCGUGAGUUCCAUGUCCCUGGUCCUGUUCCAUUGUUUUAGAAGGAAGUUUCUGCAAAGAGCCUGAUCUUCCCACAACUCAUUUCCAACUGGAAUUUAACAGAUCCCCAUCUGCCAAAUAAUAAAUAAGAACCUUUACAUGCAACACUCCGUUUGUUAAGCAGAGCUAUAAACAAAGCCUAAAUAGCAGCUAAUUUAGGGAACGAGGUUGGGAAGGCAAUGUUGCCAUAGCUGCAGCACACGAGUGGGAUGAACACCCAGCCCCAUGUAGUCAGGUCCCCUGUCAUGGUUUAGGGUAAAUUUGGGAGAAAACCUCCAAUGGGCCCUCCCCACCCCGGGAAGCAAACAUACGUGGCGGUUCCCAAAAACCAAACCUACUGCCAGGCUUAAAGGCACCACCGAGAGCUAGUCCCUGUGGCAGUGAAGGGCAGGCUGUGAAGGAUUGCAGAAAAUGCCUUAUU